rnacentral:rRNA from 1 species
GAUGAACGCUGGCGGCGUGCCUAAUACAUGCAAGUCGAGCGAACAGACGAGGAGCUUGCUCCUCUGACGUUAGCCGCGGACGGGUGAGUAACACGUGGAUAACCUACCUAUAAGACUGGGAUAACUUCGGGAAACCGGAGCUAAUACCGGAUAAUAUAUUGAACCGCAUGGUUCAAUAGUGAAAGACGGUUUUGCUGUCACUUAUAGAUGGAUCCGCGCCGCAUUAGCUAGUUGGUAAGGUAACGGCUUACCAAGGCAACGAGGCGUAGCCGACGGGAGAGGCGGGUCGGCCACCUGAGAAGGGGAACGGCGUCCAGACUCCUACGGGAGGCAGCAGAAGGGAACGUGCCGCAAUGGGCGGAAGCCUGACGGAGCAAGGCCGCGUGAGUGAUGAAGGUCUUCGGAUCGUAAAACUCGGUUAUUAGGGAAGAACAAAUGUGUAAGUAAAUAUGCACGUCUUGACGGUACCUAAUCAGAAAGCCACGGCUAACUACGUG